rnacentral:rRNA from 1 species
AGCAGCCGCGGUAAUUCCAGCUCCAAUAGCGUAUAUUAAAGUUGUUGCAGUUAAAAAGCUCGUAGUUGAAUUUCGGGAUUAAUUUAUUGGUCGUGCUAUUGUACGUACCGAUAUUAUUGAUUCCUACCUUCUGACGAACCACGAUGUCAUUAAUUUGGUGUCAUGGGGAAUCAGGACUGUUACUUUGAAAAAAUUAGAGUGUUUAAAGCAGGCUCACGCUUGAAUACAUUAGCAUGGAAUAACGAAAUAGGACGUUUGAUUCUAUUUUGUUGGUUUCUAGGAUCGACGUAAUGAUUAAUAGGGAUAGUUGGGGGCAUUAGUAUUCAAUUGUCAGAGGUGAAAUUCUUGGAUUUAUUGAAGACUAGCUACUGCGAAAGCAUUUGCCAAGGAUGUUUUCAUUAAUCAAGAACGAAAGUUAGGGGAUCGAAGACGAUCAGAUACCGCCGUAGUCUUAACCAUAAACUAUGCCGACUAGGGAUCGGAUGAUGUUAAUUUUUAAUGACCCAUUCGGCGCCUUAAC